GUGUCAGCAGCCGCGGUAAUACGUAGGGUGCGAGCGUUAAUCGGAAUUACUGGGCGUAAAGCGUGCGCAGGCGGUGAGUUAAGUCUGCUGUGAAAGCCCCGGGCUCAACCUGGGAAUGGCAGUGGAAACUGGCUCGCUGGAGUAUGGCAGAGGGGGGUGGAAUUCCGCGUGUAGCAGUGAAAUGCGUAGAGAUGCGGAGGAACACCGAUGGCGAAGGCAGCCCCCUGGGCCAAUACUGACGCUCAGGCACGAAAGCGUGGGGAGCAAACAGGAUUAGAUACCCUGGUAGUCC
rnacentral:rRNA from 1 species